UACGUAGGGGGCUAGCGUUGUCCGGAUUUAUUGGGCCUAAAGCAUCCGUAGCCGGCCUUACAAGUCCUCCGUUAAAUCCAGCUGCUUAACAGAUGGGCUGCGGAGGAUACUAUAAGACUAGGAGGCAGGAGAGGCAAGCGGUACUCAGUGGGUAGGGGUAAAAUCCGUUGAUCCAUUGAAGACCACCAGUGGCGAAGGCGGCUUGCCAGAAUGCGCUCGACGGUGAGGGAUGAAAGCUGGGGGAGCAAACCGG
rnacentral:rRNA from 1 species